AACAAGGGAAAAAAAGAACAAGGGACUAUUAGAAACAAAUAGCAAAAUAACAAAUUUAAAUGCAACCAUAUCAAUAAUCAUAUUUCACAUAAAUUGUCUAAAUUCUGCAAGUGUAAGACGGAUUGGGUAAAAAAGCAAAACUUACCUGCAUGCUGUCUAGAGGAAAUCCUACUCUAAAGACAUAGAUAGCUUAAAGUAGAAGAGUUGAAAAAGAUAUACUGAGUAUAGAUGAAGCCUUUGAAACCUGCAUUGGCUAUAAUAUCAGUCAAAGUGGCCUCAGAACCACGUCAUGUCUACACCAGGGAUAAAGGAGGACCCUUCUUCAUGGUGAAGGGGUAAUUCAUCAACAAGACACAGCGAUGCCGUGAGACGCUCCUCCUAAGCAACUGAACCUCAAAAAAAAAACCCCAGAGAACUUCAAAAUGCAAGAAGUGAAAACUGACAGAAAUAAAUGGAGAAAAAGAAAAAACCCACAGUUAUAAUUGGAGAUUUCAACAUUCCUUACUCAAUAAUGUUUUUUAAUUUCCUUUCUCCCUCUAUGAUUGUGCUCAGACAGGGGAAGAGAAGUUGCUUCAUAAUUCAGAUUUCUUCCCAUUAAACUCUGACUUGUGGUUUCAUUUCCCCACUUCCUAUAAUCUUAGGGUUGAGUGGGUGGGGUGCGGCUGAAGAAUGCAUGAAGGGACAGAGGGAAGAUGAAUUCUAAGACUUAGAUUAUGGUUCCAGAUCCUGCACAGGGGGUGUUUUGGUAUAUGCCGUCUAAGAUUUCUGGAGCUCCGUUUUCUCUUUUGUAAAAAAAAAAAAAAAAAAAAAUUGUAGUCUAUCUCCUGUCUGAAAGCAAAGUCAGAGCCCCCGGAAUCACUCUGAGCAGGAAGAGGAGGGCGGAUGCUGUUCACGCUUCCUCAAGGAUCCGACCCACGGAGUUUCCCAGCAUCCUAUGGGGCUGAUUCUUGGCAUAGCCUGAAAGAUCUACCCCGACCAGGCAGCUGCUCUCAGAAUUUUCACCAAUGUCGGUCCCAGCUGAUCAUGCCUACGGGAUCAUUCCAGAUAAGGAUCCAAACUCAUUAUCUUGCUUGUGGAUGUCAAGAGUAUGUUGAAAAAUGAACAAGACCAAAAUCAAGAACCUCUAUCAAAGCCUCUGCUGGAUCUGCACACAACCCCUUAAACCAAAACAACCUCUGUGGCUGAAGAAAUGUCAAGUCUCGGCGUUUGGCAUCGGUGGUCCUGUUAGUGUUUGCAGUGGCAUCUGGGCAGGGUUUGUGGACCACUCUUUCCAAUGUGUGUUCAGCUGCUGCAGAUUCUUUUCCCUUUUUACGUGUCUCUUUAGUGAUCUGAGGUCUUCAAGAACCCGAGCGUCUCUGGCUGUGAAGGUGAUGGACAGAGGAUACUGUAGGGGAGAGACCUGGGAUGACACAGCUGUAUGAGAGAUGAGCUUGUGUUUGUGUGUGAAGGUGGGGGUGCCGGAGACCAAGCAAAUGUGGGUGGAGAGAUAGGGAGGCAGAUUUAGGACUGAACACAGGCUGACCUGGCUCAUCUCACCUGGCGCAGAGAGCUGUUUCUCCCAGAUGUGCACGGGACAGGAGAAGAUGUUGUGGAAACCCACCAGCCGAUCACCAGUUUUCAUCCCGUAAAGACCUGUUCACCCUUUAUUUUGAGAUCGCAAUAAAAGAAAAUAAUUUUCUAAAUAUCUUAAA